CCUACGGGAGGCAGCAGUGGGGGAUAUUGCACAAUGGGGGAAACCCUGAUGCAGCGACGCCGCGUGUGGGAAGACGGUCCUCUGGAUUGUAAACCACUGUCCUCAGGGACGAAGAUGACGGUACCCGGAGAAAAAGCAUCGGCUAACUCCGUGCCAGCAGCCGCGGUAAUACGGAGGAUGCGAGCGUUAUCCGGAUUUAUUGGGUUUAAAGGGUGCGUAGGCGGGCUGUUAAGUCAGCGGUAAAAAUUCGGGGCUCAACCCCGUCCGGCCGUUGAAACUGGGGGCCUUGAGUGGGCGAGAAGAAGGCGGAAUUCGUGGUGUAGCGGUGAAAUGCAUAGAUAUCACGCAGAACCCCGAUUGCGAAGGCAGCCUUCCGGCGCCCUACUGACGCUGAGGCACGAAAGUGCGGGGAUCGAACAGGAUUAGAUACCCGGGUAGUC
rnacentral:rRNA from 1 species